rnacentral:lncRNA from 1 species
UAAACUCCAAAACAAUGCAACUUUUUUCUCUCUAGUUUUAUCUUCAGCACAGCUUGACUCAUCAUAAUUUUACCUUUAAGUAUCACCUGCAUUAAUAAACAUACAACUAGGUAUCGAUAAAUUUCUGUGGAAAAGGAAAUUAUCACAAGAUCAAAACUGAAGAACCAGUCUAAUUUCAUCUAAUAUGAAGGUGAUCAACAUAUAUAAAAGGUUCUUAAAAUUGACAUUUUAUUGAAGAGAGUACAAUAAAAUUAUAAUCACCAGACCAA